GACGAACGCUGGCGGCGUGCCUAACACAUGCAAGUCGAACGGAAAGGCCCUGCCUUUGUGGGGUGCUCGAGUGGCGACCGGGUGAGUAACACGUGUGUAACCUGUCCUUGACUUUGGGAUAACUUAAGGAAACUGGGGCUAAUACCGGAUAGGAGCUCCUGCUGAAUGGUGGGGGUUGGAAAGUUUCGGCGGUUGGGGAUGGACUCGCGGCUUAUCAGCUUGUUGGUGGGGUAGUGGUAUAGCAAGGCCUUGACGAGUAGCCGGAGUGAGAGGGUGACCAGGCUCAGUGGGACUGGGACUGAGCCCAGGCUCAGACGGGUAGGAGAGGUAGCAGAGAGGAAUCUUAGAGAAGGGGGCCGAUGCUGCAACAGCCAGGGCGGGAGAGUGGUCUUGGGGUUAGAGUUGGAAUGCGCUCUUAACGGAGCAGUGAGUGACGGUAGUGGGUGAAGAAGCACCGGCUAACUACGUG
rnacentral:rRNA from 1 species